rnacentral:sRNA from 2 species
AUAUCUCUCCGUACGGGAAGGAUGAGAAGCUUCGACUAAGGUUCGAUUCGAGCGCAGCGAGAAAGCGUUGCCGCAGGCAACGACCCGAAGGGCGAAGCGCGCAGCGCUGAGUCAUCCUUCCCCACCACCA